rnacentral:lncRNA from 1 species
UAACAAUCACUGCAUGGCUCGAGAGGAUUAAAAAACAUAAAGCAAAACGUGAUUGGCUAACAGAGUCUCUUAAACAUUUGGGUUCUGAAAACUGAGAAACCACUGAACCAACAUGUACAGAAAUCUAAGCUGUAACACCCCAUCUGAGUUAGGCAGGAAAUGCACCAGUAACCCAUGGCUAAGACACAGAUGCCUAUCCAUGGGAAUUUUGAUCACUUUCAGAGGCCAGGCCAUACACAGGUCAGAGCACUUUGUGGGAAUGCAUAACUCUGUAAUCCUAAAACUCCCCUAGCCCCAACUGUGAUUGAAUGUGAGUUAAUAGAUAAAGAUGCUUGUUAGUUCUGGGACACUAGAGAAGAACUGUAAUAGCCAUAAAGUCCCAAAGUAAAUUACUCAACUCUUUUGUUUGUUCAAAACGGAUGUUCCGGACACUACUAUCUAUAGAACAAUCUACAAACAUCUGUUGACCAUCAGUACGUGUCAGCUGACCACUAACCUUUGUUCCUCUUCUGCAAAUUUUGCCUGUUAACUUCCCCUGCAACCCCCUAUAAAAAGAGCCUCAGACUCUGAGCUAGUUGCCUCUCUAAGCUACUUUGCUUUGGGAGUGCUGUCUGGCCAGACUAAUAAAGGUCUGUUUUACUUUCCAACUUGUCCGGUGUGUUCCUUCCCGGGUGUUCUUCGCUGCAGUCAGCUCCUCAGAGCGUUUGGUAAGGCCCUCGGUCUUACAACUUGAGUGAGAAAGAAGCUUAGGGAAAAAAACCCAGAGAAGAGAAAACACUGAGAGGUGAGAGGAACAAGGGAGAUGGUGGAGAAGGACCAACAUGCACAGCAACACAACUGGAACAGGAGAGCUGAGGGCCAGAGGGGCAGGAGUUGGCCGCUGCAGUCCGGUGACAAGAACAGUGAAAGGGCACUGUAUGUGGAAGGGCUCCACAUCGACCUCCCUCACGAUGUCCUAAGAUACCACGCUUCAUCCCCGGCCAAGGUGGAGUUCAGCCCCUCACCACAGCCUCAGAUCACAGACUGCACUUCCUGGUCAGACUGACCACCUAUGCUUCCCCCUGGGCCUUGGCCCAGCAGCUGAAAUGCCACUUCUGCUGAGAGCCUUUCACAGCUACUCCAUCCAGCAGCUGUCUGGGACCAUCCGUGUUUUCACUUCACUCACUCAUUUUCAGAGCACUUCUCACCACUGGUAAUGAUCAUUUAAUUGGCUUGUGCAUUAGAAUGAGGGUGACAAUGGUCCCGAUUCAGCAGUCUCCUCAAGUUGUUGAGCAUUAACUGAGGCAAUAGUGUGUGCACGCUACUGAAACAGUGCCUGGCUGCUAUCUUGGACCAAGUAAGAGCAGUGUUAUUAGAAGGGAGACUGGCAAAGUGGUCUGUAGGACUGGGCCCCCUAACAAAACAGAUUUAUGCUCUAAGGGGAGAAGGUGAACAUGCUCUUGGGUGCUGUACCAGCUGUCUUUGCUUCAGUCUGCAAACCAUGUAACAUGCUGCUGCAAUCCUGUGGUUAGAGAUUUUCCUCCCAAGUGUCAUUAAGCUAAAACUGAAGUUAAUCUCUCAUUCUCAUUUUAUAUGUAUGCAUGAACUAAAUCUAUAGGGUUGUUAUUUACCACAAAUCACACAGCCAGAAGUAGAGAGCCUCAGUUGGGUCUCAGUCUUUCUAGGUGGUGGUUAGGGAAGGAGGAGACACUCCUGGUGGAGCCUGCUUCCCUGAUGGGCACUAACAUGAGCUGACGGUGUGUUCUUGGGAGAGCCCAGAGCUUGCUCUACAGAUGAUCUGGGGCGAAGACAACAAGCAGCAGUGGUGAAUCCAGAUACUACGCCCUCUGUUCUUCAAGACUGCUGAGCUGUAUUUCUGUGUGACCAGCCACGGU